UGGCUGAGCACUCCAGACACGUGUACCCUUAACGUAGUUCUCGGAGAUACAGUGUGACAAGGCUGGCCCUUUGAAUUACAGGUACGACAGAAACAGGAAGAGUAAAAGAAAGUUGUUGUGAAAGAGUACAUCAGAGUUCGCCACCAUCCCCUGCCGGAGCCUCGUGGAGCUUUAGGUGUUUUCGCUCAAUAAACACUCGCAACGCCCGGUCUGGGAAUCGAAACUGCAAUCCUAUGACCUCGAGUCCGCUGCCCUACCACUGGGCCAUUGCACCUCCUGUGCUUAUUAUAGAACCCUCAUCAUCCUACAUAAAACAAGGAUAUUGGUUACAAAUAUCAGUUAUAGUAGUGUUCCUUGGAACGGUCAAUACCUGUACAUGCAUUCAUCUAAGCGAUCCCGCUUUAAUUUAUCCUAACUGCCACUGGUAAUUUAUAAAGAAAACUGUUGGAAAACAGUUUAUAGCAGCGACUCCAUCUAAGAAUAUCUGAAGGAAUUGUAAUUCCGAAAUAUCAUCGGACUAUAGAUAACUAAAUUACAACAGGUAUAUAGUCCAUUUUUUGUAUUAUAGUGCAUUGGUGUACCAUUCAAAACUUCUUAUUCUUUACAAACAAUGCUUCAAGUGAACUACAAUACUCUCCUAUAAUUCCUUUGUAUUUGCCUUAACAACUCAACAUGCACAGGAGUCAGUUACAAGAAUGAUUAACUACCAGAUGUUGAUGGUGCAGUCAAUCCAUCAGAUGUACUUGAGCUCUUGUAGUAAAUAUAGAUAUAAAUGUGGUGAUCUCGUAUUGCAUUUGACUGUUUUAACUCUUAUUCUAUUAGCGUUAUUGAAGAAUCAUUGGUUAUCUUCCUUACUCCAUUAAUAAUUUGCUUAUUGCUGUCGUCACUAAUCAUGUUGACAGUAACACUAUCCUUAAUCUUUGUUUUAUAAGCAUCUUGUGUCUUUACAAUUUUUAGGAUGCAAAUAAAUAAAUAAAUCAUUUUAACUGUAUCUCAAAGAGAACACUACUUUAAUAGUUUGUGAUGUGUUAAAAAUGCCAUGGAAGGACAGAAGACUACUUGCUGGACACUGCCUACACGUCUGCAUCCAUGACAGAGGUUUCCUUUCGAUCAAAUUAGAUGAUUUGAUAAAAGUGAGUCUUUUCCCCUUUUUCUUUUUCUUUUCUUUUUUUUUUUUUUUGGUUAAGAAUACGAAUGUAAAGGCUUUGAGAAAUAAGUGGCCAUUUCCAGUCUGUGCUUUCUAUCCCUUGUAUACUCAAAGUGGCCUGAUCCAGCUUUUUGCAAUGUUCUAAAAGUAAUCGCAUCAAAAUCUCAAACCUGUGAGAUAAUGCAUGAUUAAUACAAAGCAAUGUGAAUAAACAAACAUUACAUUUGACAGUCAUGUAAGUCAGGGGAUUUCAAACUUUUUGACUUGCGGACCCCUUUAUAUUUCAGGCUUUACCUUAGGUAUCUCCUUAUAAAACGCUUAUGAAAUUUAUACAUAAAUAUUUGCUUAAAAUACCAUUUUUACAUUUGUUUAUUUAAAAGUAUUUAACUUGAUCAGCCUGUUGCUGUAGUAGGAUACUAUUAUAUGGAAAUGAACCUGAAACUAUGUGGCUGGGGAGCAAACUUCUCAACCACUUGGUUAUAUAUGUAUUUUAAAAUACAGACACAGAUGAAAUGCCACUAAGCAUUUCAUCUGGUGUGUUCUAUUUAAGUGUAAUACAUUACCAUCUACAUUUGGAUGCAUUUAAAUGAUUUAUUCACUUUGACUGUUUAUUGUCUCUGAACAAAUACUCUAUUUGAAAUAGAACUGAUUUAUUCAAUCCACUAAAAAAAAAAAAAAAAAUAGAAAUUGGAAUGGUCUCUGAACAUAGAUCUAUCAUUGUCUUCCCAUUCUCACUGAUCCUUAAUUCAUUUAUCAUUGAAGCUAUAACUAAUUUCAGGUUCGCUCCUACAGUGCAGAACCUUAGGCAAGUAUGUCUUCCACAACUUCAGCUUGGGAUAAAUUUGGAUAGAAACUCUGGAAGUUUAUCAAGAGUACUGAUUCUAUUUUUAGGUGAUAGACAUAAUCUGUCACCCAGUUUAUUUCUCUACAUCUUACAGGGAUUGUUUUGUCCAGUUAUUUUUUCAAAGUCAGUACGUUUAAUUCUCGACAGUUGAAUUUCCAUAGAUCUCUGUACAUAUCACAGAUUUGUCUACAUUAUUCUCCUUUGAAGGUAGCAAACUGGCAGAAACGUUAGCACACUGGGCGAAAUGCUUAGUGGUAUUUCAUGUCUUUACGUUCUGAGUUCAAAUUCCGCCAAUGUUGACUUUGCCUUUCAUCCUUUUGGGGGGGUCAAUAAAUUAAGUACCAGUUGCAUACUGGGGUCAAUCUAAUCGACUGGCCCCCUCCCCUAAAAUUUUGGGCCUUGUGCCUAGAGUAGAAAAGUAUAUACUCUUUUUUCACUCUGAUUUCAUGGACAGAAACUUCACAGAAAAGGUGAAUGAAUGCGGGUCGUAAACUAUACACCAUGUAUAAUUGCGGCUGAAUAUAGUUCUUUUCGAGUCUGAAACUCGAAGUAACUCACCCGUAACUUUUGUAUUUAUUGAGUAAUAUUUCACAGUUGCUGAAGCUUGUGUUUCUUUUGCAGAUACUAGGAAGAAAAUUAAAUCAAUAUAAUAUGAACUGAUUUGUAUAGAGAAUCCACAGCACAGUGGAGUAGCUACUGUUCAGCCAUAGUAAAGCAUAAAGAUUUGUUAAAGUAUUACCAACAUAGUUAAAACAUAUAAUGUCUUCUAUUUCAUCCAAUAUUUAAAUUUGUAUACAUGAUUUUUUUUCAAAAUAUUUUCAGUUUUUGGUUUCAUGGCUUCACAUCAAGAAAUGUAAACUAGUAUUUUCUUAUGGACAAUUUGAGAAUAUUGAAUUGAGAGGCCUCCUAGCAAAGACAACGUUCUGUUUUGUGGAAAACAGGACAGCGCCCUGCUACCAUCAAAGAAAUGGCUCUACUGAUUAUGCUGAAAAAGAAUAGGUAGAAAUCUCAUACAGUGCACUUGGUAUGAACUGGUUAUACAAAAAUCUAGUAAAAUCACAGGUAGGCUAGACUUUGACUGUGGCAGAAGCACUGAUGUAGGGACCAAGAGCAACAGAUUCUUCUAAAUGGCUCAACAGUUCCCUAGUUGAAAGCUUGUUAGCAAGAUGACCUAAUUGAUGUUGUCUACACCACCUGUCUUUGUCUCAAUUUUUUGUGAAUUCUCCCCCUAUAUGGAAAUUUCCAAGAGUCCCCAUCAAAACCAUGGCUAUAAAUGAGAUGCAUGCAACACAUAAUGGCAGAAGUUUACAGAGAUUCCUGAGAAGAUAGGUGAAUGGGAUUCUUGGUUAGACACUUGACCAUGAGUCAAAACGAAUCACUUUGUCUACAAUGAACACCAUACUUUAUUGCCUCUCACCAACAUGAAAAAAAUAGGUAUCUCAUUUCCACCUCUAGCCAUAUACAUAUAAACAGACAUUCCAGGCAUACAACUCAAUACUCUCAGUAAUGAAUCUCUGUCUUUAUGUAAAUAAAUUUGUUGAGAACUUUAUAAGAUGACUUGGUUUUAGUAUGGAGAAUAAUUAUGUAUGCAGCUGCAAACUUCACUUAUUCUCAUGCUAGCAAAUUUAUAUCCUUACAACAGACAUGUCUAAAAUCAAUGUUUUAUUUUCUGCAGGCAACACUUGCAGACGUUCUCACAUGCAUGCACUUGAUCCAUUUAUUUUUAUGCAAAUUCAUUUGCAGUCAUUUUCAAAUGCAUGCAUACUAUAAUGGUGUUCCAAUACUUCUGGUUGAUUAUACACUGGAGGCGCAAUGGCCCAGUGGUUAGGGCAGCGGACUUGCGGUCAUAGCACAGAUCGCAGUUUCAAUUUCCAGACCGGGUGUUGUGAGUGUUUAUUGAGCGAAAACACCUAAAGCUCCGGCAGGGGAUGGUGGCGAACCCUGCUGUACUCUUCCACCACAACUUUCUCUCACUCUUACUUCCUGUUUCUGUUGUGCCUGUAAUUCAAAGGGUCAGCCUUGUCACACUGUGUCACCCUGAAUAUCCCCGAGAACUACGUUAAAUGUACACGUCUGUGGAGUGCUCAGCCACUUGCACGUUAAUUUCACGAGCAGGCUGUCCCGUUGAUCGGAUCAACUGGAACCCUCGUCAUCGUAAGCGACAGUGCCAACAACAAUUCUACACCAUUCAUGAAUUUACAGAACUCGUUUUCUUGUAAUGGUUUUAGUUUAAUGUUUUUGCAUAAAAGUUUGCAGUUUUCUCACUUAAUGUUUGCUGCACUUUUCUUGUUACUGUAAACAACAUGCAUACAUCCAAUUACAUGCAUACCACAGUCUCUUGGCAUUUUCACACAGUAGGAAUACAAAUCAUGCUUUCUGCACCUUGCUUCCAGCCAGCUGCUUUCUCUAUUAAGACCUCGAUAUGGCCCUGUUACAGAUAGAAUCUUAUAAUAAUUCUGAUUGUCAUUGCAUUACUUAGCCCGUCAAUAAUGCUUUUACGGGAUUAGAGAAAGAGGGGGGAGAGAGAAACGUCCAUGACAUGAGGUAGAGGGAAUGUAAUUGUACUGCUUUCACGUAACUAGUUGAAGGGGAGAGAAAAAGAGGGAGAGAGAGAAGCAUUCAUGAUGUGAGGUAGGGGGACCAUAAUACUUAUGCUGUUAAAAAAGUUAGUUGAAGGCAGAGGAAGAGUUAAAAAUGAUUUUAGUCGAGGGAGGGUAUUCUGGUGGUGAGGUUAAAGAAAGGGAGAGAGGAUGGUGGAGAUGGAGGUAGUAGACGUGGUGAUUGAUUAGUGAAAAGUGUUUUUUUUAUAUUACCUAUCACUUAAUGCAUGUGCAUGAGUGCAAUUCCGUGAAAUAUUCACACUUCUUUACGUGGCAUAUAUAUGCAAUUUAACUAAAGAUUCUAUCAAUCAUAUGUAUGGGAUAUUUUUUGUUUGUUUAUGGGGGAAAUGGAAAAAUAAGAGUGAAUAUUUAUUGUAUGAGUGCUGUGUAUUAAGUUUACAAAAUUGUGCUUAAAGUAUAUAAAGUGCAUUAAGUAAUCAUCGUAUUCCAAUUUCUUUCACUUUUCAAUGAGUAGCAGAUGAUGAACUAUCUAUCCAGGCUACACUUUUAGGUUUUUUGAAUAAAGGUUUCAGAAAUAAUCCAAUAGGCCUACCAUUAAUUCUGUGAAAUAUUCAUGGGUCCCACUGAUAAUGCAUUAAUAAUAUUUGUUCCAGUCAUUAAGUAGGAGGGUAGUGGAGAUGAAGAUAAUGGAUAUUGUGACAAUUGCAACAACAAGUAAUUGUUUCUCUCAUUAAAUUACUAUAAUCUCAUGAAUAAAUUAUUUAUAAAAUGCUGAA